rnacentral:tRNA from 1 species
GCGCCUGUAGCUCAGUGGAUUAGAGUACAUCGCUACGAACGAUGGGGUCGGAGGUUCGAGUCCUUCCAGGCGCA